rnacentral:rRNA from 1 species
GCUUGUCUCAAAGAUUAAGCCAUGCAUGUCUUAGUGUAAAUAACUCUUAUGAAACUGCGAAUGGCUCAUUAAAUCAGUUAUCAAAUACGUGAUGGUCGCCUACUACAUGGAUAACCGUAGUAAUUCUAGAGCUAAUACAUGCGUCAAUACCCUUCUGGGGUAGUAUUUAUUAGAUUGAAACCAACCGCUUCGGCGUGAUGUGGUGAUUCAUAAUAAAUUUGCGAAUCGCAUGGCUUUACGCCGGCGAUGAAUCAUUCAAGUUUCUGACCUAUCAGCUUCCGACGGUAGGGUAUUGGCCUACCGUGGCAAUGACGGGUAACGGAGAAUUAGGGUUCGAUUCCGGAGAGGGAGCCUGAGAAACGGCUACCACAUCUAAGGAAGGCAGCAGG